rnacentral:lncRNA from 1 species
AUUUUACAAAUAUGAAACAGUAAUAUAUCAGCUAUGGAGGUCUGCGGGAGCCUAAAAACAUAAACUAGAAUAUUUUUAAAUCAUCUGAAAUCUCAUCAUACUGCCCUCUAGAUGGGUAUCAUUCCUGUCUUUGUUCCAGUUUAUUUAAAUAUGGAGAUAUUUGGACUCAGAGAAGAAAAGUAAACGCUCGAAGUCACAGAACUAGGAUUGAAGCCAGAGCCCCAGCGCAUGGCUACAUAUCCUAGUCGUAAGUCCUUCCAGUUCUUCUAUGUGAGCUGCUGCCACAGCUUGGCUACUGACAGACUGGUGGUGUGGUUCCACGACAGGGAAAUGAAUCGCGGCUGCCGAAGUGGUUACCUCGACCACUUUUGAUUAAGAAAACUGCAGAAAGUUAGUAACUGCCACAAACGAACGCCAGGCGGUGGCCCGUGUCAAUUUUCCACAGAGUCCUGCUUUGCGGGGUGUCUGAAUGCACUGCUCGGGGUCUCUGCUCACACUUACUGGAAUCAAUCGUGGCAGAUUUUAGUCCACAGGUCGCUUUUCCCCAUAUUUCUUUGUAAACUCUUCAGCGUUCUUACAGAAAUUUUUACGGUCCUUAGAGUAUUCUUCAGCUAGGUCAGCCCGAAGCGGGUGCUCAGGCUGGGGGUCGUUCACCAGUGCUAUGAGGGACCGGAUUACUUGGUCGGUUUUGGUUGCUGGCUUCCAGUUUUCAGCACUAAUUACCGGCAGUCAGACCUGCCCCUUUUCAUCAAUGUUCGGGUGAUAGAUCUUUGUUUUAAAUGUGAUCUUCGGUGGUUUGAAUGGGUACUCUGCCGGAAAGUUGAUUUCGAUUCUGAAGGUCCCAUUGUCAUAUGGAGGGUUGUCAGGAACAAUAAGCCCUUGCCAAGUCAAUAAAUUAGCUUCAUCAAUCUGGAUGUUACGGAAGUUUUUCAUUCCACAUUUGCGGAUUUCUUCAAGCUCCUUCAUCAGCCUCCUGCUGGCCGCCAUCUUGGAUCUGGUGCUGCUAAAAUAACAAGAUAUUUUGAGGAAGAAGAUGC